AUUUGACGUUACCUACAGAAGAAGACACCGGCUAACUACCGUGCCAGCAGCCGCGGUAAUACGGAGGGUGCGAGCGUUAAUCGGAAUUACUGGGCGUAAAGACGCAUGCAGGCGGCCUGUUAAGUCAGAUGUGAAAGACCCGGGGCGUUAACCUCGGAAUUGCAUUUGUAAACUAGGCAGGCUAGAGGUCUUGUAGAGGGGGGUAGGAAUUUCAGGUGUAGCGGUGAAAUGCGUAGAGAUCUGAAGGAAUACCAGUGGCGAAGGCGGCCCCCUGGACAAAGACUGACGCUCAGAUGCGAAAGCGUGGGGAGCAAACAGGAUUAGAUACCCUGGUAG
rnacentral:rRNA from 1 species